CAAAAGUCCAUGUAACAUCUAUUAAGGAAGAUCCAACUUUUCUUAACCAUCUCCAACAUCGUUUCCAUAAGAUCUUUGAGGAACUUGUUGGAAUGCCCCCUAGAAGACACAUUGAGCAUACAAUCACUCUUCAAGAAGUGACCAGGAUUAAAUCUUCUUGAGCCACUUUUAGACGGAAUUGCUCAAAUUGCACGGAGUGAACUUGAAACGAAGCACGGCGUACCAUCCUCAAACGGAAGACCAACCGGAGGUGGUGAAUAGGUGUUUGGAAAUGUAUCUAAGCUUCUUUUGUUGUGAAAAGCCCAAGAGAUGGUCAAGAUGGUUAGCUUGGAAAUAAUUCUUCAUUUCAUUCAGCUACAAAAUAUAACCCAUUUCAGGCACUUUAUGGGCGAGACCCCCCCACCCAUCAUUCGAUUUCAAGUUCAACAAACCCCUAUCGAUGCGAUUGAUGAUUUGUGAAUGAGUUUAUUGAGAGCUCAAUAGAAAAUGCAACAAUCAGCUGAUAAGAAAAGGAAAGAAAUGCACUAUCAAGGAGAUUGGGUUUAUUUGAAGCUAAAUCCUUAUCGACAACAAAUUUUGGCAAAAACAAAGUUUGAAAUACUAGUUGGCCGCUACUAUAGCCCUUAUUGAAUUCAGUAGAAGGUGGGGAAGGUGGUGUAUACACUCAAAUUUCCCCAUUGAGCUCUCAUACACCCCGCCUUCCAUGUGUCGCAGUUACGUCUAUGGAACGGUGAACAAACCAACAAAAUUACCAUUCCAGCUCAAAGAAGAUCUACAUCUAUUGGUUCAACCAGAAGAAGUGAAAGGGGUAAGGCCUUCUAAGGGAAGCUUAUCGAAUGAAAAGGAGGUUCUAAUUCAAUGGAAAGGGUUGACCGAGUUUGAAGCCACCUUGGAGGAUUGAGAGAGGACCCACAAUUUUCGACUUUUCACCUUGAGGACAAGGUAAGAGUUUGGGACGUCGAUGUUGAUAAGCCUCCAACCUUUCUAGUCUACAAAAUGAAGAAUAGGAAGCCCAAGAAGGAUGCAGCCCAGUAAUUCCAUUCAAAUGAAGUCCAGUUUACUUUUUAAGCUUUUGUCUUUUAUUAUUUUGUUUAGCUGGAUUGAUAUUCGUUAAGGUAGUGUCCUCAACAUUUUGUGUUGGUCAGUGUAGCAGUGGAAACCACCUUUUUGGUCUGGUUUGGUGAGGUGGCACCCUGUCUAGUAUUUAUAUAUGUUUUUCUUUUUCUAUAAAGGCAGAGAAGAAUAUUAAA